GAUGAACGCUGGCGGCGUGCCUAAUACAUGCAAGUCGAACGGACGGACGAGAAGCUUGCGUCUCUGAUGUUAGCGGCGGACGGGUGAGUAACACGUGGAUAACCUACCUAUAAGACUGGGAUAACUUCGGGAAACCGUAGCUAAUACCGGAUAAUAUUUUGAACCGCAUGGUUCAAAAGUGAAAGACGGUCUUGCUGUCACUUAUAGAUGGAUCCGCGCUGCAUUAGCUAGUUGGUAAGGUAACGGCUUACCAAGGCAACGAUGCGUAGCCGACCUGAGAGGGUGGUCGGCCACACUGGAACUGAGACACGGUCCAGACUCCUACGGGAGGCAGCAGUAGGGAAUCUUCCGCAAUGGGCGAAAGCCUGACGGAGCAACGCCGCGUGAGUGAUGAAGGUCUUCGGAUCGUAAAGCUCUGUUAUUGGGGAAGAACAUAUGUGGAAGUAACUGUGCACAUCUUGACGGUACCUAAUCAGAAAGCCCCGGCUAACUACGUG
rnacentral:rRNA from 1 species